UACGUAGGGGGCAAGCGUUGUCCGGAUUUAUUGGGCGUAAAGAGCGUGUAGGCGGCUUGACAGGUCUGCUGUGAAAACUCGAGGCUCAACCUCGAGAUGUCGGCGGAAACCGUCUGGCUAGAGUCCGGAAGAGGCGAGUGGAAUUCCUGGUGUAGCGGUGAAAUGCGCAGAUAUCAGGAGGAACACCAAUGGCGAAGGCAGCUCGCUGGGACGGUACUGACGCUGAGGCGCGAAAGCGUGGGGAGCAAACAGG
rnacentral:rRNA from 1 species